rnacentral:rRNA from 1 species
CAGCAGCCGCGGUAAUACGUAGGGUGCGAGCGUUAAUCGGAAUUACUGGGCGUAAAGCGUGCGCAGGCGGUUUUGUAAGACAGGCGUGAAAUCCCCGGGCUCAACCUGGGAAUGGCGCUUGUGACUGCAAAGCUAGAGUGCGGCAGAGGGGGAUGGAAUUCCACGUGUGGCAGUGAAAUGCGUAGAGAUGUGGAGGAAUACCGAUGGCGAGGGCAGCCCCCUGGGCCAAUACUGACGCUCAUGCACGAAAGCGUGGGGAGCAAACAGGAUUAGAUACCCCCGUAGUCCCUGUCUCUUAUAC